GGCGAGGGGAGUGAAAAAGAACCUGAAACCGUGUACGUACAAGCAGUGGGAGCCUCUUUUAUGGGGUGACUGCGUACCUUUUGUAUAAUGGGUCAGCGACUUAUAUUCUGUAGCAAGGUUAACCGAAUAGGGGAGCCGAAGGGAAACCGAGUCUUAACUGGGCGUUAAGUUGCAGGGUAUAGACCCGAAACCCGGUGAUCUAGCCAUGGGCAGGUUGAAGGUUGGGUAACACUAACUGGAGGACCGAACCGACUAAUGUUGAAAAAUUAGCGGAUGACUUGUGGCUGGGGGUGAAAGGCCAAUCAAACCGGGAGAUAGCUGGUUCUCCCCGAAAGCUAUUUAGGUAGCGCCUCGUGAAUUCAUCUCCGGGGGUAGAGCACUGUUUCGGCAAGGGGGUCAUCCCGACUUACCAACCCGAUGCAAACUGCGAAUACCGGAGAAUGUUAUCACGGGAGACACACGGCGGGUGCUAACGUCCGUCGUGAAGAGGGAAACAACCCAGACCGCCAGCUAAGGUCCCAAAGUCAUGGUUAAGUGGGAAACGAUGUGGGAAGGCCCAGACAGCCAGGAUGUUGGCUUAGAAGCAGCCAUCAUUUAAAGAAAGCGUAAUAGCUCACUGGUCGAGUCGGCCUGCGCGGAAGAUGUAACGGGGCUAAACCAUGCACCGAAGCUGCGGCAGCGACGCUUAUGCGUUGUUGGGUAGGGGAGCGUUCUGUAAGCCUGUGAAGGUGUGCUGUGAGGCAUGCUGGAGGUAUCAGAAGUGCGAAUGCUGACAUAAGUAACGAUAAAGCGGGUGAAAAGCCCGCUCGCCGGAAGACCAAGGGUUCCUGUCCAACGUUAAUCGGGGCAGGGUGAGUCGACCCCUAAGGCGAGGCCGAAAGGCGUAGUCGAUGGGAAACAGGUUAAUAUUCCUGUACUUGGUGUUACUGCGAAGGGGGGACGGAGAAGGCUAUGUUGGCCGGGCGACGGUUGUCCCGGUUUAAGCGUGUAGGCUGGU
rnacentral:rRNA from 1 species